rnacentral:ncRNA from 1 species
GCGUUGAAGCGGGGGUACCGCCGAUGGCCUGAACGGCCCGGUGGUUGAGACAGACCCUUCGAACCUGAUGCGGUUUAGACCGCCGUAGGGAAGCUUCGCCGGAGGCGCC